GAUUUUUCCAAAACAUUGUGAUUUAACAGAAACACAGCACAUUAGCACACUAGCAGAGAGAGAGAGAGAGAGAGAGAGAGCUGGCAGCAGGAUACAAAGGCCUUUCAUUUCAUAGCAGUUGGUUGGUGGCAUUCUGGCUCUGAAAAUACUGAACUGAAACUCAGCUGCUUUACUGUUUAGACAAGUUGGGUUUUGCUCCUCUCUAAUGACUACUGCCUUCUCUGAAUCUGCUGGAAGCAUUGACUGAAUUCUGGCUAUACUAUCAAAGAAACAUGAAAUUUGAAUUGAAGAAAAGAUGGAGAGCCAUUGCCCCACAUCAAUUGAAAAACAAAUCAGCUGGCCGUUUUUGUUUAUUUCCCAAAUCAAAGUCAGAUCGCUCUGAUCCGAGAAAAGCACCAGUUUAUCUCAAUGUAUAUGAUUUGACACCCAUGAAUGGCUACGUCUAUUGGGCAGGCCUUGGAAUUUUUCACUCUGGUGUUGAAGUUCAUGGUGUAGAAUAUGCAUUUGGAGCACACGACUACCCUACCAGUGGUGUUUUUGAGGUUGAACCUCGCCAAUGCCCAGGAUUCAAGUUCAGGAAGUCUAUAUUUAUUGGGACAACAUCCUUGGACCCUACUCAGGUUAGGGAGUUUAUGGAGCGCCAGUCUUUGAGCUACAAUGGUGAUACAUAUCACCUGAUUGUCAAGAACUGCAACCAUUUCUGCAGGGAUAUCUGUCACAAGUUAACCGGAAAAUCGAUUCCCAAAUGGGUAAAUCGACUGGCAAAAAUAGGUUCAAUAUGCAACUGCGUACUUCCUGAAGCCCUAAAGAUUUCUUCUGUGCAACACGACCCGAACUGCCAGCCAUACGACAGCGAGAAGAGGAGUUUGAGAAGUACGUUCAGUUGCCUGUCUUCUAUUUCAAUGCGGCAGAAGCAAUUGUCAUCGUCAUCGUUAUUUCUACAGUCACCCCUAAAAGGCUGCUUACCGCCAUGGGAAUUGAGAAGGUCGAACAAUGGUUCCUUGAAGGAAAGGUGAGAGAAACUGUUCUAUGGUAUGAUGACUGGCGGGGCGUCCAUAACCUUUAACGAGGGGAAUUUGUUGCUAAGUUUUUGUGCGUCAGCAAUUGAAAGCUGCCAUCACUGAGAUUGUUUUUGUUCUCCCAGGUUAGACGUGACAAAACUCCUCCCAAGUGUAAAUUGUGCUGUUAGCGUAGCUAGCUUGUAACAUCGUUGUCUUGGCAAAUGAAUGCAUCAACGUGCAGAAACUUUGAUUCCCA